rnacentral:rRNA from 1 species
UACGUAGGGGGCAAGCGUUGUCCGGAAUCAUUGGGCGUAAAGCGCGUGUAGGCGGCUUCGUAAGUCCGUUGUGAAAGUCCAGGGCUCAACCCUGGAAUGCCGAUGGAUACUGCGGAGCUAGAGUCCGGAAGAGGCGAGUGGAAUUCCUGGUGUAGCGGUGAAAUGCGCAGAUAUCAGGAGGAACACCAAUGGCGAAGGCAGCCCGCUGGGACGGUACUGACGCUGAGACGCGAAAGCGUGGGGAGCAAACAGG